rnacentral:rRNA from 1 species
UACAGAGGGGGCAAGCGUUGCUCGGAAUCACUGGGCGUAAAGGGCGCGUAGGCGGUGUGUCAAGUCAGGCGUGAAAGCCCCGGGCUCAACCUGGGAACCGCGCUUGAGACUGGCACGCUCGAGUUCGGGAGAGGAUGGUGGAAUUCCCAGUGUAGAGGUGAAAUUCGUAGAUAUUGGGAAGAACACCGAUGGCGAAGGCAGCCAUCUGGACCGACACUGACGCUGAGGCGCGAAAGCGUGGGGAGCAAACAGG